UCAGGUAAGUAAGAAAACUAA
rnacentral:piRNA from 1 species